AUGGAAUCCGACUGCUUGGAGGUCGUCAAUCUCUGGAACUCGCGUCAUGAUGACAGGACCGUCGUGGCGCCUAUCUUAGCCGAAAUUUUGGAACUCUAUACUAGUUUUAAGUCUUUUUGUAUUCAAUAUAUUUCGAAGACAGCCAAUUACCCUGCUCACCUAUGUGCUAGACAUGCAAGCACACUGGACGUAACAGAAUGUUGGUUUGACUCUGCCUCUGGCAUCAUUGUUACUAGCCUCCUCGCAGAUUCUGCAGGGGCUUCUAUUGUUGAAUAA
rnacentral:rRNA from 1 species